CAGACCGCAGGCAGUCGGCUGGCGGCAGGGAGGCGGGCGGAGCCGGGGCAGGCGCUGCCCGCGCCUCACACGGAGAAGUUCACGUCGCCGCUCACCUGCUGGAGUUGCCUCGCUCCCUGACCGGCUUUAUGAGCGGCGCACCGCAGCUGCGCUCAGCGCCCCGCCCUGCGCGCCUCCCCCGGGGCGCUCCCGCCCGGCCGCUGAGCCGCCCCGCUGAGGGCAGCGGGCUUCAAGCAAACGCGGGCUGUUUGUUUUGUCAGCUGUCGGCCUCGCAGAAGAGUAACGGCUCGUCACGAACGCCGCAGGCUUCUUAAACAGUGUUCCAGUACACAAGGCAACUGUUAAAAAGAAAUGCAGUACAUUCCUCAACUCUCAAUUCUCAAUAAGCACACGUGGAGCAUUGAAAUCUCAGGAAACCGUAACCGUUUCUAAGAGCACAACAGCACUGUUUGAUAGAGCUACACAGCACCAUUUUUCAGCACAGUCACCACCAUCUGCUAUGCAUUUUUGCCAGCAAUUAACAACAGCCUGCAUGCUGUGCUCAUAAAAAUAUGCAUCAGCAGAGGUGACUGCUGUUGCCAUUGCUGAAGUCCACUACCCACUGCCUCACUGUGCUGAUAUCCACUGCUUGCUCUCCACAAACACUCAAGCGUCGAUGAAUGUCAACGGGCGCCACUAUUUCUGCAUGAAGGUAUUCAAUUCCAUAUCUUUGCUUCACACGCACUUCCAUGUCAGACACCAUUUUGUCAGACAGCCCCCUGUGGC